rnacentral:rRNA from 1 species
CCCUUAGAUGUUCUGGGCUGCACGCGUGCUACACUGAUAUUGCCAAUAUGUCAUUCUUAUCCGAAAUGGAUUGGGUAAUCAAGUAAUGAAAUUUCAUGCUUGGAAUCGGUAAUUGCAAUUUUAUCGUGAACGAGGAAUUCCUAGUAAGCACUAGUCAUCAGCUAAUGUUGAUUAUGUCCCUGCCCUUUGUACACACCGGCCGUCGCUACUACUGAUUGGGUGUUCAAGUGAGAUGCUUAGACCCUUGUUGCAUGGUUCAUUAUUGUGCUCCGAAAGGAAAAAGUUUCAAGCUUGAGUGUCUAGAGGAAGUAAAAGUCGUAACA